UCGACAUAUAGAGUCUCACCAUCUGCUUAUAUAAACCGAUAUUUAACGAAAAAAUUCAACAAACAAGAUGGAGGCUCUAAGGAAAUCUGCUGUCAAAUUGGCCUUCUUUUUGGUUUUGGUGAUCAUUGCAAAAGAUAUGUGGCCAAUGGAAACGGAAGCAAGAGGACCCAUUGUGCAUUGGCAUUGUUCUAACGACUCAGUGUGUCAAUAUAAUUGUCCAAGUUGUGGUUGCAAGUGCGUUGACACAUGGUGUCGGUGUCCAACCCCUCCUCUCACCAACAAUGUUCGUAUUCAAGCACCUACAAAUUGAGAAACGGGAUCUUCUGUGGUUAUUAUCUAGUUUGGAAGACAACAAUAAAAUGGAUUCAUAUAGAAUGGUUUAUCACAAUUUUGUGUAUCGAAAAUGUAAUUUAUGAAUCUCAAUAUAUCUCAACUUUUUUAAACAUUGUUCA